AUUGAACGCUGGCGGCAUGCCUUACACAUGCAAGUCGAACGGUAACAGGUCUUCGGAUGCUGACGAGUGGCGAACGGGUGAGUAAUACAUCGGAACGUGCCUAGUAGUGGGGGAUAACUACUCGAAAGAGUGGCUAAUACCGCAUGAGAUCUACGGAUGAAAGCAGGGGAUCGCAAGACCUUGUGCUACUAGAGCGGCCGAUGGCAGAUUAGGUAGCUGGUGGGAUAAAAGCUUACCAAGCCGACGAACUGUAGCUGGGCUGAGAGGACGAUCAGCAACACUGGGACUGAGACACGGCCCAGACUCCUACGGGAGGCAGCAGUGGGGAAUUUUGGACAAUGGGCGCAAGCCUGAUCCAGCAAUGCCGCGUGCAGGAUGAAGGCCUUCGGGUUGUAAACUGCUUUUGUACGGAACGAAAAGCCCUGGGUUAAUACCCUGGGGUCAUGACGGUACCGUAAGAAUAAGCACCGGCUAACUACGUGCCAGCCGCCGCCGUAA
rnacentral:rRNA from 1 species